UUGAUCAUGGCUCAGGAUGAACGCUAGCGGCAGGCCUAACACAUGCAAGUCGAGGGUAACAGGGAGUGCUUGCACUCUGCUGACGACCGGCGCACGGGUGCGUAACGCGUAUGCAAUCUACCUCUUACUGAGGGAUAGCCCAUGGAAACGUGGAUUAAUACCUCAUAGUAUUAUAGACUGGCCUCAGUUUAUGAUUAAAGGUUACGGUAAGAGAUGAGCAUGCGUCCUAUUAGCUAGAUGGUAAGGUAACGGCUUACCAUGGCUACGAUAGGUAGGGGUCCUGAGAGGGAGAUCCCCCACACUGGUACUGAGACACGGACCAGACUCCUACGGGAGGCAGCAGUGAGGAAUAUUGGACAAUGGGCGAGAGCCUGAUCCAGCCAUGCCGCGUGCAGGAAGACGGCCCUAUGGGUUGUAAAUUGCUUUUACAGAGGAAGAACCCUCCUUACGUGUAAGGAGCUGACGGUACUCUAUGAAUAAGGAUCGGCUAACUCCGUGC
rnacentral:rRNA from 1 species